rnacentral:rRNA from 1 species
UACGGGAGGCAGCAGUGGGGAAUAUUGCACAAUGGGCGAAAGCCUGAUGCAGCUAUGCCACGUGUAUGAAGAAGGCCUUAGGGUUGUAAAGUACUUUCAUCGGGGAGGAAAAAACAAAACUAAUAAUUUUAUUUCUUGACGUUACCCGAAAAAGAAGCACCGGCUAACUCCGUGCCAGCAGCCGCGGUAAUACGGAGGGUGCUAGCGUUAAUCAGAAUUACUGGGCGUAAAGAGCACGUAGGUGGUUUUUUUAAGUCAGAUGUGAAAUCCCUGGGCUUAACCUAGGAACUGCAUUUUGAAACUGAAAUACUAGAGUAUCGUAGAGGGAGGUAGAAUUCUAGGUGUAGCGGUGAAAUGCGUAGAUAUCUGGAGGAAUACCUGUGGCGAAAGCGGCCUCCUAAACGAAUACUGACACUGAGGUGCGAAAGCGUGGGGAGCAAACAGGGAUUAGAUACC